rnacentral:rRNA from 1 species
GACAGAGGGGGCAAGCGUUGCUCGGAAUUACUGGGCGUAAAGGGCGCGUAGGCGGGAUGGCAAGUCGGUCGUGAAAUCCCUCGGCUCAACUGAGGAUCGUCGAUCGAUACUGCCGUUCUUGAGGAUUGCAGAGGAGAAUGGAAUUCCCGGUGUAGCGGUGAAAUGCGUAGAUAUCGGGAGGAACAUCAGUGGCGAAGGCGGCCUUCUGGUCCAGUACUGACACUCAAGUGCGAAAGCGUGGGGAGCAAACAGG